AGUCAUGCUUUGUAUAUAUCAAUGAUUGGUGGGAGCUGAAGCAACUGCUGCCUUUAGAUAGGAUGCACUGGGACCCCACCACACUCCAAUGUCACUUUUACUAGCCCUGCUUCAGCAUUUAUAUGGCCUGGAUGGCCCCCAUAACCAUUUCAGAGGGUGGUCCCAGACCUACGCCGUCUACCUUCAGUUACUGCUAGCCUUGUUCUCUGCUCCCAGCCCUUGUCUACUCUCCUCCAAUGCAUAAUAGGAGGCUAGAAAGUAGACAGUCAUGCUUUUCCUCCCUGGCUGUCUGAGGAUAGACCACCAUCAUGAACGGUACAUAACUAUUGGCACUAGAAAGUUCAUGACCAACUGACAACUUCAGAGGAAACAAAUGGUCAUUGAUAUCCUUCACCCCGGGAAGGCAACAGUUGCCUAAGACAGAAAUUCGGGAAAAACUAGCCAAAAUGUACACGACCACACAGGAUGUCAUCUUUGUAUUUGGAUUCAAAACUCAUUUUGAUGGUGGCAAGACAACUGGCUUUGGCAUGAUUUAUGAUUCCCCAGAUUAUGCAAAGAAAAAUGAACCCAAACAUAGACUUGCAAGACAAGGCCUGUAUGAGCAGAAAAAGACCUCAAGAAAGCAGCGAGAGGAACACAAGAACGGAAUGAGGAAAGUCAGGGGGACUGCAAAGGCCAAUGUUGGUGCUGGCAAAAAGCUGAAGGAGUAAAGGUGCUGCAAUGGUGUUAUCUGUGGCCGUUGUGGAUUUUUCAUGAGAUGAUUAAUAAACUAAAAACUU